rnacentral:rRNA from 1 species
CCAUGAGGUACUGUAGCAGUCGACGAUGAACACCUUCGGGUGGGGAUUAGUGGCGAACGGGUGAGUAACACGUGGGCAAUCUGCCCUGCACUCUGGGACAAGCCCUGGAAACGGGGUCUAAUACCGGAUACUGACCUGCCAAGGCAUCUUGGCGGGUCGAAAGCUCCGGCGGUGCAGGAUGAGCCCGCGGCCUAUCAGCUUGUUGGUGAGGUAAUGGCUCACCAAGGCGACGACGGGUAGCCGGCCUGAGAGGGCGACCGGCCACACUGGGACUGAGACACGGCCCAGACUCCUACGGGAGGCAGCAGUGGGGAAUAUUGCACAAUGGGCGAAAGCCUGAUGCAGCGACGCCGCGUGAGGGAUGACGGCCUUCGGGUUGUAAACCUCUUUCAGCAGGGAAGAAGCGAAAGUGACGGUACCUGCAGAAGAAGCGCCGGCUAACUACGUGCCAGCAGCCGCGGUAAUACGUAGGGCGCAAGCGUUGUCCGGAAUUAUUGGGCGUAAAGAGCUCGUAGGCGGCUUGUCGCGUCGGUUGUGAAAGCCCGGGGCUUAACCCCGGGUCUGCAGUCGAUACGGGCAGGCUAGAGUUCGGUAGGGGAGAUCGGAAUUCCUGGUGUAGCGGUGAAAUGCGCAGAUAUCAGGAGGAACACCGGUGGCGAAGGCGGAUCUCUGGGCCGAUACUGACGCUGAGGAGCGAAAGCGUGGGGAGCGAACAGGAUUAGAUACCCUGGUAGUCCACGCCGUAAACGGUGGGCACUAGGUGUGGGCAACAUUCCACGUUGUCCGUGCCGCAGCUAACGCAUUAAGUGCCCCGCCUGGGGAGUACGGCCGCAAGGCUAAAACUCAAAGGAAU